AUUGUUGCAGAGUAGGAGAAUGGCAUCGGGAUAGCUGCUAAAAAAAACAAAAAAAAAAAAAGAAAAGAACUGCAUCAGAAAGAAAAACCUCCUGCCAUUUCAUCUUGCCCACACCUUCCAGUGAGACAGCUUUUCCCAACUCUGCUGAGGAUAAUUUCUGCUGUACCAAAAACAUUGCCACGGUUUGCAAAGACGAAGUCAUCCUUAUUAACAAGCCUUUCCAAGAACAGCAAACUGAAACACGCAAUCUUGCACGGAUGCUCCAAUAUGUAUCUUUGGCUUUCGGGACAGUUGUGAGAUUUUUAUUUCCUCUCACACCAAUGGCAGCGGUAGCGUUGAGGUAUCUUGCGUCAAUUAAAAAUCUCUUUAAUCAAAUACUGGCAGGGGAAGGGUUCAAAAUACUUGAAGAAUGACUCCUGAAAGCUUUCACUUGACUGUGAGUGAAUUCAUCAAGAGACUGGCCCGCAACACAAAAUCUUCUCUCACCUUUAAUUCCAAAGCUGCCGACGAACUGCAGCGGCUCUCCAGGCAUCCGGGCAUGUUCAUGGGGGAGCACUGGCAUUGGGGACCCAGAUUCCCUCUGCUCCAGAAGGUUGCCUGGGGUCUGCCAAGGUGCCAGGCACGGUUACUCGCAAAUUCAUCCUUCUGGGCUGCCUAUGCUGAAUGAAGAAGCUGGAGUGGCGGAGAGCGAGCAGAUGCCUUUCAGCCCUAGCUGUCAGGAAGAGCUGAUGCUUUUGAAGAAGAUGGGUGGUGGUUGUGAAAGUGGAGUGAAGAAGCGACAUGUAACUGCUGCUUUCUGGCUGACAACGUGACUGCAUUUUCUGAGGUCCCUCCUUGGCUUCAGCAUCGAUGUCCAGACCUUUGGUGCGCGCCAGGAGUUGCCCUGCCCAGCGUUGCAGACCUAGGGGAGAAAUCCGAUGAGAAGGAGGAGCCCUACAUCUCCGGCGUCUCCGGCUUAAAAUCAGCAGGCAAGCCGAGCCUGUGGAAAUGAGAGCAGGGCCAAACUGCUCCCACCGGGACUGUUCACGCUUUGCAUUUUGCAAACAUAACGUCCUCGCCGGUUCAGGGCUUCCACUUAGAGCCGGACAAAUGAAAAACUUCUCAGCUCACUGCCCGAUCCUCCACCCAAAAAAACCCAAAAAAAUUCAAAUAAGAAAUGGUUGGGAUCAAUGCAAAGUACAGACCCUUUAAUUUAUUUUUUUUUUUCCCCUACCAAAAUAAACCCUUCUCCUCCCCACUCCGAUUAAUUUUAGAUCAAAUGAAAUGUUUUAUUCAAUUGCAGACUGAAAUGUCAUUUCAGAACGUUAACUAGAAUAAUAUUCCUUUUUAAAAAGUAGCAGAGCAAAAAAAAAAAAAAAAGUUCAAUUUUUAAAACUUCCUUUUCUUCCCGCAUGCGUGUAGGGGCAAAUUUGGUUUUUGAUGAAAAAAAAAAAACCAACCCACGUGUUUCUGGUGAACCUUUUUGGUGAGCAGCCCGUGGCAGUGUGAGCCCCCGGGAGAAGGGGGGAGACCCAGUCGGGGUGGGGGGGGCCGACGUGGGCAGAGCUGUGCGGCACACGUUGGCCAAAAUCAUCUUCAUUCCCCAAGAGCUUCCUCCUGCUUCUCUGCUGACUGUUCUUUAAUCAACUAUUUAAAACCCGGCUUGGAGACUUUCAUCACUUCCCAAAUCCCUAGGACUUAAAAAAAAAUAAAUAACUUCAAUAAAACAGGAGAAGACACCGCAUCGGUGGCCGCUGACUGGUCUGAGC